rnacentral:rRNA from 1 species
AGCGAACGCUGGCGGCAGGCCUAACACAUGCAAGUCGAGCGCCCCGCAAGGGGAGCGGCAGACGGGAGAGUAACACGUGGGAACGUACCCUUCAGUUCGGAACAACCCAGGGAAACUUGGGCUAAUACCGGAUACGUCCGUAAGGAGAAAGAUUCAUCGCUGAAGGAUCGGCCCGCGUCUGAUUAGCUUGUUGGUGAGGUAACGGCUCACCAAGGCUACGAUCAGUAGCUGGUCUGAGAGGAUGAUCAGCCUCACUGGGACUGAGACACGGCCCAGACUCCUACGGGAGGCAGCAGUGGGGAAUAUUGGACAAUGGGCGCAAGCCUGAUCCAGCCAUGCCGCGUGGAUGAUGAAGGCCCUAGGGUUGUAAAGUCCUUUCGGCGGGGAAGAUAAUGACGGUACCCGCAGAAGAAGCCCCGGCUAACUUCGUGCCAGCCGCCGCCGUAAAAC